rnacentral:rRNA from 1 species
GACGAACGCUGGCGGCAGGCUUAACACAUGCAAGUCGAGCGCCCCGCAAGGGGAGCGGCAGACGGGUGAGUAACGCGUGGGAACGUACCUUUUGGUUCGGAACAACUCCGGGAAACUGGAGCUAAUACCGGAUAAGCCCUAACGGGGAAAGAUUUAUCGCCGAAAGAUCGGCCCGCGUCUGAUUAGCUAGUUGGUGAGGUAACGGCUCACCAAGGCGACGAUCAGUAGCUGGUCUGAGAGGAUGAUCAGCCACACUGGGACUGAGACACGGCCCAGACUCCUACGGGAGGCAGCAGUGGGGAAUAUUGGACAAUGGGCGCAAGCCUGAUCCAGCCAUGCCGCGUGAGUGAUGAAGGCCUUAGGGUUGUAAAGCUCUUUUGUCCGGGAAGAUAAUGACUGUACCGGAAGAAUAAGCCCCGGCUAACUUCGUG